GGGAACUAAUGUUAGGGAUCCCUUACUCUCACCCUGUCCAGUAGCAGGGGCUUCAGGAGUCCUGCUUCUCAUCAAGGCUGUAGGGUUAACUAACUUACCCAAUCCCAAAAGGCUUAGUAGUGACCUAACCAGGAGGGGACUUCACCCAAGUCUCUCAACCCCUGAAACCCACCAUGCCCGUCCUAUUACAUCAUGCUACAUCCACAGAAGGUAAAGUCCAGAAGGACCUAGACUAGACAGAUGACCAUGGGAAUUCAUGGACCCGGGGCAGGUUUAAAGACAUAGAGUCAAGGCUCAAGCACCUGAAGAUUUCCCACUGCUGGCUGUUAAGGACUUCACCCCAGGCCCUCGGGCUUGCUCUGCGUCCUGUCUGUUGGUUUAUUUGGCCUCUGAUCUGUUGUAGCUGCCCUGAUAUUUAGAUCCUGUGGAUGUGCCAUUCUUCUCUGGGUCUGCCUUCUCCCCCAGCCCCUGACAGUUGCAGGGGGCUGAAACCCAACACCUCCUUGAGCCUCCAUUCCCCCAUUGGUAGAUGACAAUGAUACUUUCCCCCCAAGGCUGUGGAGAGCAUCGAACAAGAUGAUAUAUACAGAAAGAUGAUGAACACAAUGCCCAGCACAUAGUCA